UACGUAGGGUGCAAGCGUUAAUCGGAAUUACUGGGCGUAAAGCGUGCGCAGGCGGUUAUGUAAGUCAGGCGUGAAAGCCCCGGGCUCAACCUGGGAAUUGCGCUUGAUACUGCGGCGCUGGAAGGUGGGAGAGGAUGGCGGAAUUCCCAGUGUAGAGGUGAAAUUCGUAGAUAUUGGGAAGAACACCGGUGGCGAAGGCGGCCAUCUGGCCCAUUUUUGACGCUGAGGCGCGAAAGCGUGGGGAGCAAACAGG
rnacentral:rRNA from 1 species